rnacentral:rRNA from 1 species
GAUGAACGCUGGCGGCGUGCUUAACACAUGCAAGUCGAACGAACGGACGAGAAUCUUGCUUCUCUGAUGUUAGCGGCGGACGGGUGAGUAACACGUGGAUAACCUACCUAUAAGACUGGGAUUACUACGGGAAACCGGAGCUAAUACCGGAUAAUAUGUUGAACCGCAUGGUUCAAAAGAGAAAGACGGUCUUGCUGUCACUUAUAGAUGGAUCCGCGCUGGAUUAGCUAGUUGGUAAGGUAACGGCUUACCAAGGCGACGAUGCAUAGCCGACCUGAGAGGGUGAUAGGCCACACUGGAACUGAGACACGGCCCAGACUCCUACGGGAGGCAGCAGUAGGGAAUGUUCCGCAAUGGGCGAAAGCCUGACGCAGCAACGCCGCGUGUGUGAUGAAGGUCUUCGGGUCGUAAAGCUCUGUUAUUGGGGAAGAACAGAUGUGUAAGUAACUGUGCACAUCUUGACGGUACCUAAUCAAAAAGCAACGGCUAACUACGUG